GACGAACGCUGGCGGCGUGCCUAAUACAUGCAAGUUGAGCGAUGAAGAUUGGUGCUUGCACCAAUUUGAAGAGCAGCGAACGGGUGAGUAACGCGUGGGGAAUCUGCCUUUGAGCGGGGGACAACAUUUGGAAACGAAUGCUAAUACCGCAUAACAACUUUAAACAUAAGUUUUAAGUUUGAAAGAUGCAAUUGCAUCACUCAAAGAUGAUCCCGCGUUGUAUUAGCUAGUUGGUGAGGUAAAGGCUCACCAAGGCGAUGAUACAUAGCCGACCUGAGAGGGUGAUCGGCCACAUUGGGACUGAGACACGGCCCAAACUCCUACGGGAGGCAGCAGUAGGGAAUCUUCGGCAAUGGACGAAAGUCUGACCGAGCAACGCCGCGUGAGUGAAGAAGGUUGUCGGAUCGUAAAACUCGGUUGGAAGAGAAGAACGUUGGUGAGAGUGGAAAGCUCAUCAAGUGACGGUAACUACCCAGAAAGGGACGGCUAACUACGUG
rnacentral:rRNA from 1 species